GUCUUCCUACGGGAGGCAGCAGUGGGGAAUAUUGCACAAUGGAGGGAACUCUGAUGCAGCGACGCCGCGUGAGUGAAGAAGUAAUUCGUUAUGUAAAGCUCUAUCAGCAGGGAAGAAAGUGACGGUACCUGAAAAGGAAGCUCCGGCUAAAUACGUGCCAGCAGCCGCGGUAAUACGUAUGGAGCAAGCGUUAUCCGGAUUUACUGGGAGUAAAGGGAGAGGAGGGGGCAGAGCAAGUCCGAAGUGAAAACCCAAAGCUCAACUAUGGGAAUGCUUUAGAAACUGCUCAGCUAGAGUGAAGGAGA
rnacentral:rRNA from 1 species